CGGGCUAACCAAGUCUUGGGAUCGGGGGUGGGGGUGAGCACGGGGAGAGGAAGCGAGGACAGGAAGAGUGCGAGCCAGCGCCGGCACCGAUCCCAAAGCCCGACCCGUCCCGUCGCAGAAGCGGCGGCCGCGCCGAGGCCACCUGAGGCUGCCGAGGAGAGGUAGAGGAGGGAGCGGGGGUGCACGCCAAGGCGAAGGGCGACCGGUGCUCCCCGUCGGCCCCGCGUAGCCCGACCCGGAGGAGACAAAGGCCAGACAAUACCUGCUCCUUGGUAAUCCUUCCUUUCCACACAUAGUUGGUUCUUCGCCUCGAUCCACACGGACCAGACGCCGCUGCUGGAAACCCGGUUGUUGUGUACCUGUAAAGUCUCUAUUCGAUAACGUAGUCUUGAAACGAACCGCUUGUAGGCCCUGUGAGCCCAUGUAUUCUAGGUCCUCCCAACCACGCCGUUCAUACUGUGGUUUACAAAGAUUCCAAUGGGUACCGUCUAAGACACGUCUCUCGUGUGUUCCUAGCUUCGUCGUUUUGGUCCCGCUUUGUCUCGUUUGUGUUUUCUUCUUUGCAUACGAUGUAUGUCAGCUACACUAGGAAGGUUGUGGCGGCAGCCCCCAGGAAGACGGAGUCGGUCCUGGAGAAGACGGGACGUGGCGACGACACUUGGAUAGGUACGCCUGUCGGUGGCGGUACGAUGUCGACAGCGUUGGACGUCGUCCAAGUUUUAAGUUGGACAAAACGAUAUUUACCGGAGGACGUGGCAACAUAUGUUUCGACUUCACCCAUGGUGUCGGUACUUUCUUUGAGAUGAACGUUUCCACCUAACCUCUCCUUCAAUAGCUACGAGUUCGGUAUACCACUUCACCUCGUUCUUCUCACUUAGUCCUUUUGCCUCUUGUACAGAUAAAACAUAUCGAAUAGGAAUCCAACAUAAGCAACCAACAUCGCUUAACUGGCUAAAGAGAAUGACGACAGUUACGGCCGCUACUUAGUAACUCCUUACAACUUGACACAUCUCAACUUCAAUUCCAGAUGGUAAUUAUAUCCUUCUUUCCACACACACACACACACACACACACACAGUAAUUUAUCAACAGAUUACUUGUUUGCUCUGAUGGUUACUAAAAAAUUUUGUUAUAUAGUGGUAAUUAAUCUUAGAGAGUAUGAACCAAUUAAACA
rnacentral:rRNA from 1 species